UGUGGAGCAGAUGCUGUCAGUUUUCCAACUAAAUGUGAGAGAAGGUGGUCCAAGUAAGACGUCAUAUGUACUCUAGGUUGGAGAGCUGAGUGGGCAGGGGUACCCACCACCCUAGACAAGGUCCAGACAAUUCUAGGAUGACGCCAGAUCCGGGGCUGCAGAAUUUGGAGUUCGCCUCCUGGGUUUAGGGCCUCAUCAUAAGAGAUCGAUUGAGCCUGGACAAGCUUUAUGCUUAUACUCUUGAAUACUCCUGGAACUUUAAUAUGUUGGGUACUUCAUGAAAUGUAAUAAAUACAUUUCGUGUCAUAAAA